ensembl:lncRNA
GUGGUGUUCCAGAAGAUGGCUGCUCAGGUGGAGGUUCAGACUGGCGAGGUGGGGAGGACCGCGGUCGGAGGGCGGCUUCACCUUAGUCCUUUGACCGACUCCAGCAAUAAGGGCCUCAAUGAGAUCUCCUCCAUCAACCAGUCCCAUAUUAUCAGCCCAGAACCAAACAAACCUGCCCCAGUCGCCAAGCCACGGCUCACUCCUAAACCCUUCGCCGUGGAGAGAAACCCCACGAUUAAGCCCAUACUCGCACNNNNNNNNNNCCAAGCCCCAGGCCAAGCCCCAGGCCAAGCCCCAGGCCAAGCCCCAGGCCAAGCCCCAGGCCAAGCCCCGGCCAGAGUCCACUCGCCUCGCUGGAUACAAACCAGAGCCCCCGUGCAGUCCGAAACCUCAGCAACCGGUUGCCUCUGGCAAACCCAGGCCACUGUUGACUAACCCCAGCCGGCCUUCCCCUACCUCAUUUAAAACAACCAAUAAGUUGAACACUGGACAAACAACCAAGCCAAUCGCUCAGCCAUUCAAACCCGCCCCUCCCCUCGACCUUGGAGACCCCAGCAAACCCGUUGUUUUAACAGAAGAAAGGCAGAAACCUCGUUCUUCGAACCUGGUGUACUCAAAGAGUCUUAAACAACUUUCAGCAUCAGAGUGGUCUGGAUCCACCAAAAAUCAAGAUGAGAAGGAACCGAGGACGUCAAGCAAAAGCGGAGGCUCCAUUACCAGAGCCAAGUCCAUGGGUUUUCUUGCUCAGGUGGGGAAGGAAGAAGAAGAAAAGGAAAAAGAAAAUCCAGAGGCAGCAGUGGUACUGCGAACAAAGCCAAGGGCGUCCAGGCCCAGACCCGUGUCCGCCAUUUUCCCCGACAGUCCGACCGUGACACCAGCUCCUUCCCUUCGCUGGGCGAGACGACCACUUUCGGCGGAUCUCACCGCCAGGUUUGAGUCGAUCGGUCUGUCUCUGCACCGUAAAACUCCCCAAGCAAACGCUAAUGAGAACACGCCAGAGGAAAAAGAAGCGGCACAAAAGAGGGAGCCGGAGAAAACGCCACAACAAAGUACUGAUGGUAUAGAAAAGAAUCUGAAAGAGGCUGAAGAGGAUAAGCGUGCAGUCAGCAUCAAGUCCCGCAUCAGUCUCCUCCUCGAUUCAUCCUCCUCUCCUGGGACGGGCGUCCCGGGCCAAGGGUCAGAUCUUCACUCUCCAGUGCAGCCGGUCCCUGAUACCGAACCACCAGUGGGUGUUCAGCAGAUCAUCAGGCAGCUGACCGAGGACCCCUCACCAGUCCAGAGUCCUGUAGCCAGACCUGCGCCGCGGCCACGCCCCCUCGACCUGGCGAAAAGGUUUUCAUUCGAGCGGUCGCCAGAUCUGGGCAAUGUUUUCUUCAGUGAGGCGACAGACCGCGAUGAGAUCAGCAAAGAUCCUCAGAGGAGGAUCGAAGAGGCAGCAAUCGCCCCCAGUGACCAGAGGACCUUUGUGGAUCUAAGUGACUCCCAAGAGCUGCUGAAAAAGGCCUCCGCGUCCGAAGGGCCUAAGGCCGGAAAGGGGUCGGGCGCCACUUUGAAGGAAAGUGCUCCCGGGAGCGACGCACACACAGUGAAAGCAUCCUUGUUUGAAAAUGUUGUGGAGAGGCACUCUGUGCUGCUGGUGGAGGACAGCAAGCCCGUGAACCAGGCUAGUGAGUCGCUGAGAAGAACGCCCUUUAAGAGCGAACGCGGUAAGGACGACGGAACGAUUGUCACUGCCGCCCAGCAAGAGCCUCUAUCUCCAUCAAGUCCUCUGAGGGUCACACACGCCUUUGACACUGUGCAGGCUGUGGAAGAGAGCAGGGCAGUGAGCGAGGACAUCCCGUCAGCCCAGCGGGAGGAUAAGGCCAUGACGCUGCGCUCCAGGCGCUCCGAGGGGGCCGGAUCAGCACUUGGCGAACCAGCCUCGGCUCCGAUGCCGGAACAGCAGCCUCGAGUUCUGAGAGUUGGCGCUUUGCAAAAGUGGACCUCCGAAGGUCCCGAUACGAGUGUGGAGAAAGGGGCGCUCAAGGAAUGGCAAAGGGAAGGACAAGGGGCUUUGAACGAAGACCGGGCAAGGCAGCCGGAAGCUGAACAGGAAGAAGUGGCGGCGGCUCCUAAACGCUUGAAAAUGCUGCAGUCAGAAGAGCAGCCGAAACCCAGGGCCACCUACUUUGCUCUGACCGGGCAAAUGCAGGAGCCGGCUUCUCCUGUUGACGGAGGACCAAGCCUCCUGGACUUUGACGAUUUCUCCGUGAGGUCCGCACUAGGAGGCUCUCCAGGGAAGCUUCUUACAACAAGGAGGAAUCCAUCAUUAGAUAAAGCGUUUGAAAAAAAACUCCCAAGAUCAGGUUGA